rnacentral:rRNA from 1 species
UGUGUAGGCGGUUGUUUAAGUUUGGUGUGAAAUCUCCCGGCUUAACUGGGAGGGUGCGCCGAAUACUGAAUGACUAGAGUGCGGGAGAGGAGAGUGGAAUUCCUGGUGUAGCGGUGAAAUGCGUAGAUAUCAGGAGGAACACCGGCGGUGUAGACGGCUCUCUGGACCGUAACUGACGCUGAAACACGAAAGCGUGGGUAGCAAACAGGGAUUAGAUACCCUGGUAGUCCACGCCCUAAACGAUGCAUAUUUGGUGUGGGUCAUUCAGUUGGUCCGUGCCGGAGCUAACGCGUUAAAUAUGCCGCCUGGGGAGUACAGUCGCAAGGCUGAA